AUUGAACGCUGGCGGCAUGCCUUACACAUGCAAGUCGAACGGCAGCACGGGAGCAAUCCUGGUGGCGAGUGGCGAACGGGUGAGUAAAGUAUCGGAACGUGCCCAGUCGUGGGGGAUAACGUAGCGAAAGUUACGCUAAUACCGCAUACGAUCUAUGGAUGAAAGCGGGGGAUCGCAAGACCUCGCGCGAUUGGAGCGGCCGAUAUCAGAUUAGGUAGGUGGUGGGGUAAAGGCUCACCAAGCCGACGAUCUGUAGCUGGUCUGAGAGGACGACCAGCCACACUGGGACUGAGACACGGCCCAGACUCCUACGGGAGGCAGCAGAGGGGAAUUUUGGACAAUGGGCGAAAGCCUGAUCCAGCCAUGCCGCGUGCAGGAUGAAGGCCUUCGGGUUGUAAACUGCUUUUGUACGGAACGAAAAGGUUUGGCCUAAUAAGCUGAGCUCAUGACGGUACCGUAAGGAUAAGCACCGGCUAACUACGCGCCAGCCGCCGCCGUAA
rnacentral:rRNA from 1 species